GACGAACGCUAGCGGCGUGCUUAACACAUGCAAGUCGAACGAGACAAUUGAAAGCUUGCUUUCGAAAGUCGAGUGGCAAACGGGUGAGUAACGCGUAGACAACCUGCCUUUGAGAUGGGGACAACAGUUCGAAAGGACUGCUAAUACCGAAUGUUGUAUAUUUUCCACAUGGAAGAUAUAUUAAAGAUGGCCUCUAUUUAUAAGCUAUCGCUCAAAGAUGGGUCUGGGUCUGAUUAGCUAGUUGGUGGGGUAACGGCCUACCAAAGCGACGAUCAGUAGCCGGUCUGAGAGGAUGAACGGCCACAUUGGGACUGAGACACGGCCCAGACUCCUACGGGAGGCAGCAGUGGGGAAUCUUCCACAAUGGACGAAAGUCUGAUGGAGCAACGCCGCGUGAGUGAAGAAGGGUUUCGGCUCGUAAAGCUCUGUUGUCGGGGACGAAUGUGCAGUAUUUGAAUAAAGUACUGUAAUGACGGUACCUGACGAGGAAGCCACGGCUAACUACGUGCCAGCCGCCGCGGUAA
rnacentral:rRNA from 1 species